AGUAACUAAAAUUUAAUAAUGUGGCUUUUACCACAUUGUAUAAUAAAUUGUAUAUUAAAUAUAUAUAUGCAUUAUUUUCACAUGGUAGCCAAAUCACAACACUACAAUGUUUUUCUAGUUUUUAGUCUUGUUUCAAGACUUUCUUGUCUUCUUGUCUUUAGCAAUAGUCAUUUUACUUCAUUUUAGUUCAAUAUAUCUUUGAAUGACUUCUUAGUCUUUUCAAGUGAUAUAAGAGUGUAUUGAGAUUUUCUUUCUUUGAAAUUCAUCUCCUUGACACCCAGCUAAUUCCAUUCCAUCUCGACACAUCC
rnacentral:lncRNA from 1 species